UAGAGUUUGAAAAAUAUUAUAAAAUAUUUUUGUAAAUGAUACAAUAAUUUUCUAGCUAUGUGUUUGUGAUACAUUUUGUAGAGUAGAAGCGUCCGUAAUAUAUACAUAGUUAUGUGAUGAUUUUGAGAAAACAAAUCCAGCUUCAAAAUAAGCUGAAUAUAAACACUCGAACAAAUCCAUCUACAUCUUUCCUACAACUAGAAAGAUUCACAAUCAAUUAUACAAAAAUUUUAAAAAAAUUACAACAAUAAAAAACAAAAAUGAAGUCCUUAAUUACAUCAAAUCCAUCCAUCCGCAACAAUAAAAGUAUAGAAAAUAUAACACACGUCCUUAAUUUUAAACACUUGAAAAAAUAAAAUUUAUUUCAUUGUAAGAAAAUAUUAUUAUUAUUUUUUUUGAGAGAUAGAUAGCACGCUACCCGCUUCGUUUAUUUCAUUUAGAAAUAAACUUAACUAAAAAUAUGAAUCAACUAGGAUUAGAACUUGGGACCUCGGGUACCAUCCACCGAACCUUUUGUCACUUGGUGUAGGGAUGGUCAGUUGUAAAAAAUUAUUAUUAAGUAAGAUAA
rnacentral:lncRNA from 1 species